CUUCUUUUUUUUUUUCAUCUGUCAAAGAUUAUGGGUUUUAUUUUAAAUAUACAAAAGAAACAAAGUAAAGAGAGAAAAAAAAUGGAAACUGAGACGAGGACGUCAGCCGUCACAUGACGGGAGGAAAUGACCAAGUGGACCUGUGGACGGGAAUAGAAGAAAGAAAAGGCUCGAGAAAAGAGAACGGCGCCGUUAGCGAAGUAACGGAGAGAAGAGGAAGAUAGGUCCCACGAUGGGCCUGAGUGUACCCAUCGUCGGUCCAACGAGUGUCUUUGUAUUCUUCGACAAAUAUCCGUACGGUCUCGUUUCUUUGCUUCAAAUCAAACUAACCCUUCCUUCUUCUUCUUUGAAUAUAACACAACAUCAUCACUUAAUAUAACACAAAAUUUAGAUGUAUAAGAUUUUAGUAUACAAAUCAUCUAGA